CGGUGAAAUGCGCAGAUAUCAGGAGGAACACGAUGGCGAAGGCAGGUCUCUGGGCUGUAACUGACGCUGAGGAGCGAAAGCAUGGGGAGCGAACAGGAUUAGAUACCCUGGUAGUCCAUGCCGUAAACGUUGGGCACUAGGUGUGGGGACAUUCCACGUUUUCCGCGCCGUAGCUAACGCAUUAAGUGCCCCGCCUGGGGAGUACGGCCGCAAGGCUAAAACUCAAAGGAAUUGACGGGGGCCCGCACAAGCGGCGGAGCAUGCGGAUUAAUUCGAUGCAACGCGAAGAACCUUACCAAGGCUUGACAUGAACCGGAAAGACCUGGAAACAGGUGCCCCGCUUGCGGUCGGUUUACAGGUGGUGCAUGGUUGUCGUCAGCUCGUGUCGUGAGAUGUUGGGUUAAGUCCCGCAACGAGCGCAACCCUCGUUCUAUGUUGCCAGCGCGUUAUGGCGGGGACUCAUAGGAGACUGCCGGGGUCAACUCGGAGGAAGGUGGGGACGACGUCAAAUCAUCAUGCCCCUUAUGUCUUGGGCUUCACGCAUGCUACAAUGGCCGGUACAAAGGGUUGCGAUACUGUGAGGUGGAGCUAAUCCCAAAAAGCCGGUCUCAGUUCGGAUUGUGGUCUGCAACUCGACCCCAUGAAGUCGGAGUCGCUAGUAAUCGCAGAUCAGCAACGCUGCGGUGAAUACGUUCCCGGGCCUUGUACACACCGCCCGUCAAGUCACGAAAGUUGGUAACACCCGAAGCCGGUGGCCUAACCCUUGUGGGGGGAGCCGUCGAAGGUGGGACCGGCGAUUGGGACUAAGUCGUAACAAGGUAACCG
rnacentral:rRNA from 1 species